rnacentral:rRNA from 1 species
AACGAACGCUGGCGGCAGGCUUAACACAUGCAAGUCGAGCGCCCCGCAGGGGGAGCGGCAGACGGGUGAGUAACACGUGGGGAUCUACCCAUCCCUGCGGAACAACUCCGGGAAACUGGAGCUAAUACCGCAUACGCCCUACGGGGGAAAGAUUUAUCGGGGAUGGAUGAGCCCGCGUUGGAUUAGCUAGUUGGUGGGGUAAAGGCCUACCAAGGCGACGAUCCAUAGCUGGUCUGAGAGGAUGAUCAGCCACAUUGGGACUGAGACACGGCCCAAACUCCUACAGGAGGCAGCAGUGGGGAAUAUUGGACAAUGGGCGCAAGCCUGAUCCAGCCAUGCCGCGUGAGUGAUGAAGGCCUUAGGGUUGUAAAGCUCUUUCACCGAUGAAGAUAAUGACGGUAGUCGGAGAAGAAGCCCCGGCUAACUUCGUGCCAGCCGCCGCAGUAACAC